GAGAAGGGGAGCGCGCUGCGCGUCGCAGGAGUAACCUACUUGGUCUCCUGCUUUCGCGACAUGGCCUUCAAUUUUGGGGCUCCCUCGGGCACCUCCGGUACCGCUGCAGCCACCGCGGCCCCCGCGGAUCUGCUAUUACUAAAACAUUUUUGAUGUUGUGGAGCAUGAUGAGAAACUGACUAGUGUUUCUAUUGCGUAGCCAAUUCAGAUUAUAUCAUAGUUAUUCUAUGGAAGUGAAGAAUAAUGAAAAGAAAUUACAACAGUGCUUAGUACUGUGGGUUUGGAGGAUUUGGGACAACAUCUACAACUGCAGGUUCUGCAUUCAGCUUUUCUGCCCCAACUAACACAGGCACUACUGGACUCUUUGGUGGUACUCAGAACAAAGGUUUUGGAUUUGGUACUGGUUUUGGCACAACAACGGGAACUAGUACUGGUUUAGGUACUGGUUUGGGAACUGGACUGGGAUUUGGAGGAUUUAAUACACAGCAGCAGCAGCAAACUAGUAAGUAUGAGGUUUUCAG
rnacentral:lncRNA from 10 species